rfam:TPA: Bos taurus chromosome 1, whole genome shotgun sequence.
UGGCUCAGAUGGUAAAGCAUCUGCCUGCAAUGCAGGAGACCUGGGUUCAAUCCCUG